UUCCUACGGGACGCAGCAGUGAGGAAUAUUGGUCAAUGGGAGAGAUCCUGAACCAGCCAAGCCGCGUGAGGGAAGACGGCCCUAUGGGUUGUAAACCUCUUUUGUCGGAGAACAAAACACGGGACGAGUCCAGGACUGCGUGUAUCCGAAGAAAAAGCAUCGGCUAACUCGGUGACAGCAGCAGCGGUACUACGGAGGAUGCGAGCGUUAUCCGGAUUUAUUGGGUUUAAAGGGUGAGUAGGCGGUCCGUGAAGUCAGCGGUAAAAUUGCGGGGCUCAACCCCGUCG
rnacentral:rRNA from 1 species